GUGCUCAAUUUGGCAGCACAUAUACUAAAAUUGGAACAGUACAGAGAAGAUUAGCAUGGUCCCUGCACAAAGAUGACAUGCAAAUUCGUGAAGCGUUCCUUAUUUUU